rnacentral:rRNA from 1 species
GACUCCAUGAAGCUGGAUUCGCUGUAAUCGCGCAUCAGCCACGGCGCGGUGAAUACGUUCCCGGGCCUUGUACACACCGCCCGUCAAGCCAUGGAAGCCGGGAGUGCCUGAAGUGCGUGAGCGCAAGCAGCGCCCUAAGGUAAAACCGGUGACUGGGGCUAAGUCGUAACAAGGUAAC